GCAGAAUUCUGUGUGGAGCGUCAAUGAGGACACUUACGGAAGUAAAUUGCUGUGUGUUCUGCGAGAUAUCCGGAAGCCAACGGAAUGGAGUACUGUCUUCUGGAUUGUGCCGCCCUUAGUCUGAUAGUCGUCCUCUCUGAAGAUAGACAUCAAGAACAUUAAUAUUUCUUGCCACCAAAAUACACAUCCAGACUUUUCUUGGCGAAGGCUUAAGGUUGACACCCCAUUCCAUCUCGGGAGCACUUCGAACACGGCAAUGAAACCAGGGACGAAUGCAGCUACCGUCCCCAA